ACAGACACAAGGGUGCCAGGAGGCUGCAACAGGCCCCUUUUGAAAUGUCAGAGGAGGGCAGAUUAACGACUCUAAAGAUGAGACAGGCACCUAUAAAUGGGGACAAGAGAUCUGUGAUCAAAACCAGCCUGGGAUAACUCCCUGAGAGACUUAAUGAAAUAACAAGAUAAAAGGAUGAGAAAAACAAUUUAAGAAAAUAAGUACUUGUCAAACAACAAUUGAUUACAGCUGUAUGGUGCAAAACUCAUUGGUCCCAAUGAAGGAAAAUCUCCAUAUAAACAGGGUACCUUGCCAUGAAACUUCGGGUUCAUCCUGCCAAGACUUCCCCAGAGCAUCGUGUCACGACCGACAGAACCCAGCUCCUGUGAUCUAGCUGGCCACUAUAUUGAUCCAGACUCUGGACUGGUUCAAACGUUUCCAUGCUCCCCCUAUCAUCGCCGUCCCUGAGGUUAUCGCAGAUUAGAAGGUGAAAAAAACGCACUCGCAAUGACAUGUUUUCCAAGCUCAUGCAGUCCUUCUGCACUGAUAGGGCACAGUUGAAUUUAUGGAGGCAUUCAGUGUCAGACACCAGGAAAGCAUUAGGUGAGCACGAUGAAUAGAGGCAGGAGGAGAUGCUGAAGCUAAUGGGGGAGCGAACGGACAUGCUCAAUUGUCUGGUGGAGCUGCAGGAAAGGCAAAAAAAGCACAGACCGCAGCUGCAUCCACUGUAUAACUGCCUGCCCUCCUCCCCAAGUUCCAUAUCCUCCUCACCUAGACGCCCAAGAACAUGCCGGGGGAGGCUCCAGGCACGCAGCCAUUCCACUCCAGAGGAUGGCCCAAGCAACAGAAGGCAGUCAUUCAAAUGGCUUUGAUUUGUAGUGUGGUUACAAUAAGCAAUGAGGCCUUGUUCUUCCCUCCUCCCCCACCCCACCUGGGCUACCUUUUCAGUUAUCUCCUUUUUUUUU